UACGUAGGGACCAAGCGUUGUUCGGAUUUACUGGGCGUAAAGGGCGCGUAGGCGGCGUGUUAAGUCAGCUGUGAAAUCUCCGAGCUUAACUCGGAACGGUCAGCUGAUACUGAUGUGCUAGAGUGCUGUAGGGGAGACUGGAAUUCCCGGUGUAGUGGUGGAAUGCGUAGAUAUCGGGAGGAACACCAGUGGCGAAAGCGGCUCUCUGGUUCAAUACUGACACUGAGAUGCGAAAGCGUGGGGAGCGAACGGG
rnacentral:rRNA from 1 species